UCUUUCUUUUAUUAUUGUUAUGUCUUUCUCCUAAAAUCCAGUUAUCUGAUCUUUGAAAGCAAAUGCAAAUUAUCUGACUUUGAUAUUGUCUUUUUGUGUUGUAGUUGUUGCAAUGCCUUCAAAAGGCUUGAAUUUGACAAGUCUUUGCACGGAAGAGGAAGAAAAUGAGUCUAGUGGAGAAAUUCGAUGCAACCAUGGCUAUGAGCUGCCUUUGUUAACAGCUUGGACCCCUAGGAACCCAGGAAGAAGAUAUUGGGGUCCACGAUCUUGUGAUUUUUGGGUUUGGAAGGAUUCCGAAAUUGAUCCUAGGUCCAAAUUUGUUAUUCCAAAAUUGCUUGACAAAAUGGGUGAACUUGAGAAUGCAUUAUAAGGCUUUGAAAAUCUUGCCAAGCCGAGGACAACUUUAAAGGUUGAAAACACUAUAGAAGACGACAAGAUGAAGAAGAUUGAGGCUCAAUUGGUGAAAUUGCAAGAUGAUAUGGAGAAGAUGAAAGAGAAGAAAAAGAAGUGGAAGAGUAAAUUGGCAAAGUCAAAGGCUAGGGAAAAUGUACUUUGGUUCAUUAUAUUGAGGAUGUGUAUUAUUCUUGUUGCUUGUGGGUAUCCAGGAAUCUCAUUGAAAGAAGAUGCAAUGAGGUUGCCAUUGUGAAUCUAGUUUUGUCAUCUCAAUAUGAAUGUAGUUGUUGCUUGUAAGUUUUAUUUUGUAUGUUUACAAUGGACCUUUCAUUUGAAUGUAAGCCUUUUGUAGUUUUGUCAUCUCAAUAUUUUGUAGAUUUCUCAUCUCAAUAUGUAUGUAGUUGUUGCU